CUUUUUGAGGGUUUGAUCCUGGCCCAGGAUUAACGCUGGCGGUAUGCCUUAUGCAUGCAAGUGGAUCGAGAAGCCGUAAGGCUUCGAGACGCGAACGGCUGAGUAAUGGAUAGGAAUCUCCCCAAUGGCUCGGAAUACCUCAUCGAAAGAUGAGCUAAUACCGGAUGACCUCGCAAGAGAAAAGCGCUUAACUGCGCACCGAUGGAUGAGCCUAUCUCCCAUCAGGCUGUUGGUAGGGUAAUGGCCUACCAAACCUAUGACGGGUACCCGCCCUGAGAGGGGAAACGGGCAGAAUGG
rnacentral:ncRNA from 1 species